rnacentral:rRNA from 1 species
CUCGUAGGCGGUUCGUCGCGUCCGGUGUGAAAGUCCAUCGCUUAACGGUGGAUCCGCGCCGGGUACGGGCGGGCUUGAGUGCGGUAGGGGAGACUGGAAUUCCCGGUGUAACGGUGGAAUGUGUGGAUAUCGGGAAGAACACCAAUGGCGAAGGCAGGUCUCUGGGCCGUCACUGACGCUGAGGAGCGAAAGCGUGGGGAGCGAACA